GUGUCAGCCGCCGCGGUAAGACGAACCGAGCGAACGUUGUUCGGAAUCACUGGGCUUAAAGGGCGCGUAGGCGGGCUGUCAAGUCUGGGGUGAAAUCCCGCGGCUCAACCGUGGAACUGCCUCAGAUACUGACGGUCUCGAGGGAGGUAGGGGCGAGCGGAACUGAUGGUGGAGCGGUGAAAUGCGUUGAUAUCAUCAGGAACUCCGGUGGCGAAGGCGGCUCGCUGGAUCUCUUCUGACGCUGAGGCGCGAAAGCCAGGGGAGCAAACGGGAUUAGAUACCCCGGUAGUCCUGGCCCUAAACGUUGAGAACUAGGUAGUGGACCAGACAUGGGUUCACUGCCGAAGCAAAAGUGCUAAGUUCUCCGCCUGGGGAGUAUGGUCGCAAGGCUGAA
rnacentral:rRNA from 1 species